rnacentral:rRNA from 1 species
UGGGGAAUUUUCCGCAAUGGGUGAAAGCCUGACGGAGCAACGCCGCGUGAGGGAUGAAGGCCUCUGGGCUGUAAACCUCUUUUAUCAAGGAAGAAGAUCUGACGGUACUUGAUGAAUAAGCCACGGCUAAUUCCGUGCCAGCAGCCGCGGUAAUACGGGAGUGGCAAGCGUUAUCCGGAAUUAUUGGGCGUAAAGCGUCCGCAGGCAGCCCUUCAAGUCUGCUGUUAAAAAGUGGAGCUUAACUCCAUCAUGGCAGUGGAAACUGUUGGGCUUGAGUGUGGUAGGGGCAGAGGGAAUUCCCGGUGUAGCGGUGAAAUGCGUAGAUAUCGGGAAGAACACCAGUGGCGAAGGCGCUCUGCUGGGCCAUCACUGACGCUCAUGGACGAAAGCCAGGGGAGCGAAAGGGAUUAGAUACCCCUGUAGUCA